rnacentral:lncRNA from 1 species
CCUUGAAGAGCGGAGUUUAAUGGAUUAAAAAGUGGUUUUACUCUGGUGGAAGACAUGUUCUUUCAAUGAAAACCAGAAAUGAGGAAAACAAUCAAAUGCAUAUUCACAUUAGAACUGUGCAGACAGAAAUCAGGGCUGAUUAUUUGACACUAACAACUGGUGUACCUUUCCCUGGAGAAGACUUAGUGUGGAUUUGAGGCCUCAUGGUCCCCCGAAAUGUGUGAAAGGCAGAAUGUGGCCCUCUGCAAACUGCAUGAAAGAGCUCUUACCCAAGCAGACCUGCUAAAGUCUACCCAAGGAAAGCCUCCAAAGACUCGUGAAAUAUGUGCAGUGGAUUCUCCAUGAGAACAUAAGAGACGGUUGUUUCUGGCAGCCCUGCUGUGUGUCAUGGCUGCCAGGCAAAAUCCCAUGAAUUAUUGCUCUUCCAGAUGUAAGAGAUUUUCAGGCUGCCUUAAACUGCCUGUGGUUUGUGGUGCUGGAAAGGAGAGAAAUGAGAUUAAACUUCAUCUCAUCAACACAAUCUGAAAAGAUCACGCAGAGGACGAGCAAUCAGAAACUUCUUCCGGAGCCGGACUGGAGUGCUUUGUGCUUUCGUUUUAAGGUGACGUCAUAUUAAGCUUGUUGGAAGACCAUGAUUAAGGUCAAAUAAUAUUUGAGGAAGAACAAAAAUAAGAGAAAACGUGUUUGGCUCUCUUCUGAAGCAUCCUUAUUGUGUUGGCUUAAAGGGUUCUGCUGAGUUCUUUGAUCCAGCCCGCAUCUCUGGCUUCACUUCAGAAGACACAGAAGAGCAUCCUUUUCCCUGCACACAGUUUUGAGGACUCACGUGUCACUUUCAUCCCUUACCCCUUGAGCUGUGUGCUUCCUUCACAGUAUUGUUUCUGUUCAGCUGAUAUAUUUGCAGUACCAGCAAAGUAUUCUAUUUUGAUUGUUUCUUUAAGAAAUUUGAGCAGAGUUUUCAUUUGCAAACCACUUCUCCUGGAUCCUGCCUUAUUCCACACUCACACAACAUUGUGUUUUCUUAAAAUUUUUCACCUAUCAAGUCCAAUUUGGGCUUCCCAUAUAUUCUUGGAUUGGUGGUCCCCUACUACAGCCCAACUUAUUGGUGACAACACUUAAUUGUCUACAACACGUUGAUUUGGAGUACAAUAUUAUGUCUACUUCCCUUCUCCAAACUAGGAUUUGGUCUGGGCUAACUUGAAGCUUGUAGUUGAUGAGAUGACUGUGAGUUUAUAUUUGCAGCUGUAACGAGGUAUACAUAAUGUACCAUUCCCAACCUCUGUAUCUUAGACUCUUGCUGCUUCCUAUUCCACAGUGAUCCCAUAUCAUUAAGAGGGAUGAAUGUGAUAAAGGUGUCAAAUUUAGGCUUGACUGUUUCACAGUUUUCUGGUCUUAGCCAGCAAUUGAUCUCUUUGCUAAUCACCAUCAACUAUAAAUAGAAACUUCUUUGCUGAGCAUGAGAGGUGUGCUAAUCUAUUGGUAUAAUGAUAAAUCAGGAGCAUCUGGUUUAAUGCUAUAUCUUUUUGGCAGAAUAAUAGCAGUAGCUUCUGCACUAAGGUCUCAGGCUUAUUUAUUCAUAGAUUCUUUGACCAAAAGUGGUACCAGUUAUAGAUUUAAUCAUGUGGAGUACACCUUAAAUCCAAUUUUGAAAAGCAGUUAGUUAACAUUGAUGCCACUAUUACACCAUUUUUUGAAGGCCAGUUAUUAUAAUAACUAACAGCAUUCAUACCUGGGCAAGGCACAUGAUUAUUUUUCUCUUCUUGUAUCACAUACAACACUUUCUAGCACUGUCAAAGGCACCUAAACAGAUAAAGCUUUCAAGUCAGGACUACCAUUAAUAUCACCAUGCUUUGCAACUCAGCAAUAUUCCAUCUAUAGCAAUAAGGGUUACUGUAAAAUGUUAUAGAGUAACCAGUAGCAUUGAUAAAGGUUUGUAAAGUUUGGUAGUCUAUGAUACCUCACUGCCCAGCAGCUACAAAAGAGAUUAUAUAUCCUGGUACUGGGGCUCUUAUUUCCUAAUUGAUGCUGUCUAGUAUUGUUAUUCCAUCAUAGAAUAACUCUAUUUAACUCAUUUGUGUUUGUGUUUGCAUGUGUAUCUUUGUGGGAAGCUUCUACAGUUGUAGGUGCAUUUCCAUAGGAUUUUGUUGAGAAAUCUUUGGUGUUAUUUAUCCCCUCCCCCAUUCCCUCCUCUACUUACAGUGAAGUAUUCUUAAGGAGUUAUUUCAUGACUCAUGAUUUGGACCAUGUUCUACAGGAUCGUGUACCAAGAUCAUCUACGACAAAAUUUACUCUCAUUUGUUUCUUCUUUCAAAUCGCCCAAUAAAAUUUCUCUCAUUUUCUUUCA